UCUGGUGGCGAUAGCGAAGAGGUCACACCCGUUCCCAUGCCGAACACGGAAGUUAAGCUCUUCAGCGCCGAUGGUAGUUGGGGGACUCCCCCUGUGAGAGUAGGACGUUGCCAGGC
rnacentral:rRNA from 1 species